rnacentral:rRNA from 1 species
GAGUUUGAUCCUGGCUCAGGACGAACGCUGGCGGCGUGCUUUAUACAUGCAAGUCAAGGAGAAUCUAUUCUUCGGAAUAGUAGUAAACUGGCGAACGGGUGAGUAACACGUAGGUAACCUGCCCUAAAGAUUGGGACAACUUCGGGAAACCGGAGCUAAUACCGAAUGACGCAAUAAAUCCUUCGGGGUAUUAUUGUUAAAGCGGGCUUCGGCUCGCACUUUAGGAUGGGCCUGCGUCCGAUUAGCUUGUUGGUGGGGUAAUGGCCUACCAAGGCAAUGAUCGGUAGCUGGUCUGAGAGGAUGAUCAGCCACACUGGGAUUGAGAUACGGCCCAGACCUCUACGGGGGGCAGCAGUAGGGAAUUUUGCGCAAUGGGCGAAAGCCUGACGCAGCAACGCCGCGUGAUCGAUGAAGCUUCUAGGAGCGUAAAGAUCUGUCGUGAGGGAAGAAAAAUUCGGAGGUAAAUAAUUUUCGUUUUUGACGGUACCUCGCAAGAAAGCACCGGCUAACUUCGUGCCAGCAGCCGCGGUAAUACGAGGGGUGCUAGCGUUGUCCGGAAUCAUUGGGCGUAAAGGGUCCGUAGGCGGUCUAAUAAGUCAAUUGUUAAAUACAUCGGCUUAACCGAUGAAAUGCAGUUGAAACUAUUAGAAUAGAGUUUAGGAGAGGAAAGUGGAAUUUCUGGUGUAGCGGUGACAUGCGUAGAUAUCAGAAGGAACACCAAUGGCGAAGGCAACUUUCUGGCCUAAAACUGACGCUGAGGGACGAAAGCGUGGGGAGCGAACAGGAU